rnacentral:rRNA from 1 species
GAUGAACGCUGGCGGCGUGCCUAAUACAUGCAAGUCGAGCGAACGGACGAGAGGCUUGCUUCUCUGAUGUUAGCGGCGGACGGGUGAGUAACACGUGGAUAACCUACCUAUAAGACUGGGAUAACUUCGGGAAACCGGAGCUAAUACCGGAUGAUAUUUUGAGCCGCAUGGUUCAAAAGUGAAAGACGGUCUUGCUGUCACUUAUAGAUGGAUCCGCGCUGCAUUAGCUAGUUGGUAAGGUAACGGCUUACCAAGGCAACGAUGCAUAGCCGACCUGAGAGGGUGAUCGGCCACACUGGAACUGAGACACGGUCCAGACUCCUACGGGAGGCAGCAGUAGGGAAUCUUCCGCAAUGGGCGAAAGCCUGACGGAGCAACGCCGCGUGAGUGAUGAAGGUCUUCGGAUCGUAAAACUCUGUUAUUAGGGAAGAACAUAUGUGUAAGUAACUGUGCACAUCUUGACGGUACCUAAUCAGAAAGCCACGGCUAACUACGUG